UACGUAGGGUGCGAGCGUUAUCCGGAUUCAUUGGGCGUAAAGAGCGUGUAGGCGGCCAGGUAGGUCGGUUGUGAAAACUGGAGGCUCAACCUUCAGAGGUCGACCGAAACCAUCUGGCUAGAGUCCGGGAGAGGAGAGUGGAAUUCCUGGUGUAGCGGUGAAAUGCGCAGAUAUCAGGAAGAACACCCGUGGCGAAAGCGGCUCUCUGGAACGGUACUGACGCUGAGACGCGAAAGCGUGGGGAGCGAACAGG
rnacentral:rRNA from 1 species